CACUCCGGUGGCCUAGCGGUUAGAGCGUCCAUCUCUGAUGCGGAAGAUCACGGAUUCGAACCCCGGCCGAGUCA